rnacentral:rRNA from 1 species
UACGUAGGGUGCGAGCGUUGUCCGGAAUUAUUGGGCGUAAAGAGCUCGUAGGCGGUUUGUCGCGUCUGCUGUGAAAACUCGGGGCUUAACCCCGGGCCUGCAGUGGGUACGGGCAGACUAGAGUGCGGUAGGGGAGACUGGAAUUCCUGGUGUAGCGGUGAAAUGCGCAGAUAUCAGGAGGAACACCGAUGGCGAAGGCAGGUCUCUGGGCAUUAACUGACGCUGAGGAGCGAAAGCAUGGGGAGCGAACAGG